rnacentral:miRNA from 1 species
GCAGACACAUUCCAGCCAAUCAGCAGCAGACCCUCCCUCCCAGACCCUUCCACCUCCUGGACAGCAUCCAUUUUACAUUCAUUGUGAAGCUGUAUUCUUAGUGAGCUGUCCAGGAGGUGGGAGGGUCUGGGAGGGAGGGUCUGCUGCUGAUUGGCUGGACUGUGUCU